UACGUAGGUGGCAAGCGUUGUCCGGAUUUACUGGGUGUAAAGGGCGUGUAGGCGGGGACGCAAGUCAGAUGUGAAAACCACGGGCUCAACCUGUGGCCUGCAUUUGAAACUGUGUUUCUUGAGUACUGGAGAAGCAGACGGAAUUCCUAGUGUAGCGGUGAAAUGCGUAGAUAUUAGGAGGAACACCAGCGGCGAAGGCGGUCUGCUGGACGAUGACUGACGUUGAGGCUCGAAAGCGUGGGGAGCAAACAGG
rnacentral:rRNA from 1 species